rnacentral:rRNA from 1 species
AUUGAACGCUGGCGGCAUGCUUUACACAUGCAAGUCGAACGGUAACAGGCCGCAAGGUGCUGACGAGUGGCGAACGGGUGAGUAAUGCAUCGGAACGUGCCCAGUCGUGGGGGAUAACGCAGCGAAAGCUGUGCUAAUACCGCAUACGAUCUAUGGAUGAAAGCGGGGGACCGUAAGGCCUCGCGCGAUUGGAGCGGCCGAUGUCAGAUUAGGUGGUUGGUGGGGUAAAGGCCUACCAAGCCAACGAUCUGUAGCUGGUCUGAGAGGACGACCGGCCACACUGGGACUGAGACACGGCCCAGACUCCUACGGGAGGCAGCAGUGGGGAAUUUUGGACAAUGGGCGCAAGCCUGAUCCAGCAAUGCCGCGUGCAGGAAGAAGGCCUUCGGGUUGUAAACUGCUUUUGUACGGAACGAAACGGUCUGGGUUAAUACCCUGGACUAAUGACGGUACCGUAAGAAUAAGCACCGGCUAACUACGUGCCAGCAGCCGCAGUAAAAC